GUGGGGAAUAUUGGGCAAUGGGCGAAAGCCUGACCCAGCAACGCCGCGUGAAGGAAGAAGGCUUUCGGGUUGUAAACUUCUUUUGUCAGGGACGAAAAAAAUGACGGUACCUGACGAAUAAGUCACGGCUAACUACGUGCCAGCAGCCGCGGUAAUACGUAGGUGGCAAGCGUUAUCCGGAUUUACUGGGUGUAAAGGGCGUGUAGGCGGGAAAGCAAGUCAGAUGUGAAAACUAUGGGCUCAACCCAUAGCCUGCAUUUGAAACUGUUUUUCUUGAGUACUGGAGAGGCAGAUGGAAUUCCUAGUGUAGCGGUGAAAUGCGUAGAUAUUAGGAGGAACACCAGUGGCGAAGGCGAUCUGCUGGACAGCAACUGACGCUGAGGCGCGAAAGCGUGGGGAGCAAACAGGAUUAGAAACCCUAGUAGUCC
rnacentral:rRNA from 1 species